AAGACAGCCAGGAUGUUGGCUUGGAAGCAGCCAUUCAUUUAAAGAGUGCGUAACAGCUCACUGGUCGAGGGUUCGGGCGCGGAAAAUGAUCGGGCAUCAAACGUAGUGCCGAAGCUAUAGGAUUGUACUUUGUACAAUCGGUAGGAGAGCAUUCCAAUCUGCUGAGAAGGUGUAUCGCGAGGUAUGCUGGAGCGUUUGGAACAGAAAAUGUAGGAAUGAGUAACGAUAAAUAAGGUGAAAAACCUUAUCGCCGAAAGACUAAGGGUUCCUGAUCAACGUUAAUCGGAUCAGGGUUAGUCGGGACCUAAGGCGUACCCGAAAGGGGAAGUCGAUGGAUAACAGGUUAAUAUUCCUGUACUCGGUAUAAAUUCGAUGGGGUGACGCAGAAGUGACAAGUCCGCGAUCUUACGGAAUAGAUCGUUAAAGGGUGUAGUUAUAAGGAGUGUAGGCAAAUCCGCACACCUUGAUGAACCUGAUAGUACCACAAAACUUCGGUGGCGUGGAUAGUGACUGUAAUCAAGCUGCCGAGAAAAACCUCUAAGGUUCGUUUAUACCGACUCGUACCGUAAACCGACACAGGUAGUCGAGAUGAGUAUUCUAAGGCGCUCGGGUGAGCCGUGGAGAAGGAACUAGGCAAAUUAACGCUGUAACUUCGGGAUAAAGCGUACCACUGCGAAGUGGUCACAGUAAAAUGGUGCAACCAACUGUUUAGCAAAAACACAGGGCCCUGCCAAAUCGAAAGAUGACGUAUAGAGCCUGAUACCUGCCCGGUGCUGGAAGGUUAAGGAAGUUUGUCAACCGCAAGGUGAAGCUUACGACUGAAGCCCCAGUAAACGGCGGCCGUAACUAUAACGGUCCUAAGGUAGCGAAAUUCCUUGUCGGGUAAGUUCCGACCUGCACGAAUGGUAGAAUGAGUUGCACACUGUCUCCUCCACGAGCCCGGUGAAAUUGUAGUAUCGGUGAAGAUGCCGGUUACCCGCCACGGGACGAAAAGACCCCGUGAACCUUCACUACAACUUUGCAUUGAUUUUGGGUACCAGAUGUGUAGGAUAGUUGGGAGACUGUGAAGCAGGCACGCCAGUGUUUGUGGAGUCAACGUUGAAAUACCAACCUUCUGUUACUUAGAGUCUAACCUGCGGAAGCGGGGACAUUGCAUGGUGGGUAGUUUGACUGGGGUGGUCGCCUCCUAAAGUGUAACGGAGGCUCGCAAAGGUUCCCUCAUUACGGUUGGUAAUCGUAAGCAGAGCGUAUUAGUAUAAGGGAGCUUGACUGUGAGACUGACUAGUCGAUCAGGUGCGAAAGCAGGCUAAAGUGAUCCGGCGGUUCUGUAUGGAAAGGCCGUCGCUCAAAGGAUAAAAGGUACUCCGGGGAUAACAGGCUGAUCUCCCCCAAGAGCUCAUAUCGACGGGGAGGUUUGGCACCUCGAUGUCGGUUCGUCACAUCCUGGGGCUGGAGAAGGUCCCAAGGGUUGGGCUGUUCGCCCAUUAAAGUGGCACGUGAACUGGGUUCAGAACGUCGCAAGACAGUUUGGUCUCUAUCUGUGGUGGGCGUUAGUAAAUUGCGAGGACAUGACCUUAGUACGAGAGGACCGGGUUGUAUGUACCGCUGGUGUAUCUGUUGUGCCGCCAGGUGCAGUGCAGAGUAGCUAUGUACAGAAAGGAUAAGCGCUGAAAGCAUCUAAGCGCGAAACCUACCUUAAGAUGAGUUUACUUUUAAGUGCCGUCGAAGACGACGACGUUGAUAGGCUAUAGGUGUAAAGGCAGUAAUGUCAAAGCCGAGUAGUACUAAUUGCACGUACGCUUUAUAAC
rnacentral:rRNA from 1 species